rnacentral:lncRNA from 1 species
GCCUGGGUCAGAAAGAGAUGGACACAAGAGGAAGCAGGGGAAGGCGGAGAAACAGGAAACAAGUGUCACACACAGUUUGUUACACACAGGCCAAAAACCAAACACCAGUCACUGAGGGCCAGACAUAUGAGGGCCAGAGGGGCAGGGUGCUGGGAAUGAAAGAAACCAGUGACCAGUGAGCCCGAGUCCUGGGCUUGGGGAGGAGGUGGGCAGACAAGGCAGCUGGCAGAAGCGGAAGCAUCCUCCUUCCAGCCCUGGCCCCAGGCCCUGGAAAGCCCUUGCAAGAAGGGGUUUUGUGGGACAGCUGGAAGGUUGGAGGCCCUGGGCCAGGAGAACUAAAGGACGCAGGGACCCGGGGUGGCGGGAAUGGUGGCUGACCCACACGGCUCAUAGGAACCGAGACUUUGGGGCUGGGGGUGGGGGUGGGUGCAGAACCUACAAAAGAAGGAGACACACCCAGAAGAACCCAAAGUUGUCCCUCCUGGAUCGCAGAGGAGGGGGCACUGGUGGCGCCUGUCUGCAAAGCUGGUUCUCCCACAGGGCCCGCGAGCCCCGAGGGUAGGCACUCACCCCACUGCAAGAAGUCGGCCACGUACUUGUCCUGGGCCAGUUCGGAGGCGCCCAGCUCCUGGUGGACGCCCAGGAGAAGGUCGAGCAGGGG